AGAGUUUGAUCAUGGCUCAGAGCGAACGCUGGCGGCAGGCCUAACACAUGCAAGUCGAGCGGAUCCUUCGGGAUUAGUGGCGGACGGGUGAGUAACACGUGGGAACGUGCCUUUUGGUUCGGAACAACUCAGGGAAACUUGAGCUAAUACCGAAUGUGCCCUUCGGGGGAAAGAUUUAUCGCCAUUAGAGCGGCCCGCGUCUGAUUAGCUAGUUGGUGAGGUAAAGGCUCACCAAGGCUACGAUCAGUAGCUGGUCUGAGAGGAUGAUCAGCCACAUUGGGACUGAGACACGGCCCAAACUCCUACGGGAGGCAGCAGUGGGAAUCUUGCGCAAUGGGCGAAAGCCUGACGCAGCCAUGCCGCGUGAAUGAUGAAGGUCUUAGGAUUGUAAAAUUCUUUCACCGGGGACGAUAAUGACGGUACCCGGAGAAGAAGCCCCGGCUAACUUCGUG
rnacentral:rRNA from 1 species